AUACUACUCCCUCCGUCCCAAAAUAAGUGACUCAAAAAUGACUCAACUUUGUACUAAUGUUAGUACAAAGUUGAGUAAGUUUUGAGUCACUUAUUUUGGGACGGAGGGAGUAUUAU
rnacentral:pre_miRNA from 1 species